GACGAACGCUGGCGGCGUGCUUAACACAUGCAAGUCGAACGAGAAUCUGUGGAUCGAGGAUUCGUCCAAGUGAGGCAGAGGACAGUGGCGGACGGGUGAGUAACGCGUGAGGAACCUGCCUUUCAGAGGGGGACAACAGUUGGAAACGACUGCUAAUACCGCAUGAUACAUUUGGGUGGCAUCAUCUGAAUGUCAAAGAUUUAUCGCUGAAAGAUGGCCUCGCGUCUGAUUAGCUGGUUGGUGAGGUAACGGCCCACCAAGGCGACGAUCAGUAGCCGGACUGAGAGGUUGACCGGCCACAUUGGGACUGAGAUACGGCCCAGACUCCUACGGGAGGCAGCAGUGGGGAAUAUUGGGCAAUGGGCGCAAGCCUGACCCAGCAACGCCGCGUGAAGGAAGAAGGCUUUCGGGUUGUAAACUUCUUUUAAGAGGGAAGAGCAGAAGACUGUACCUUUCGAGGAAGCCACGGCUAACUACGUGCCAGCAGCCGACGG
rnacentral:rRNA from 1 species